rnacentral:lncRNA from 1 species
AUAAUUCUUGAAGUCAAUAAUUGUGAAUCAUUGUCAAUCUAUCAAUCCUAUCUUUUUAGUAAGAUGAUCGAAUCAUCUUUUACUAAAAAAGAUGAACGAGCCAAUGAUAUUCUAAAUCUGAUACAUAUUGAUAUAUUGGAUCUACGAAUAUUUUUGUCAUAAAUUUAGUUUAUUUAAAAUAUUCAAAUAAUUUCUUAAUAAGAUAGAGAAACAAACUG